rnacentral:rRNA from 1 species
GACGAACGCUGGCGGCGUGGAUUAGGCAUGCAAGUCGAACGGUAUCAUCCUUUCGGGGGUGAGAGAGUGGCGAACUGGUGAGUAACACGUAGGUUAUCUACCCUCAAGACGGGGACAACCCAGGGAAACUUGGGGCUAAUACCGGAUGUGAGCAACUUUUUAGUUGUUUGAAAGGUGGCGUAAGCUGUCGCUUGGGGAUGAGCCUGCGUCCUAUUAGUUAGUUGGUGAGGUAACGGCUCACCUAGGCAAUGAUAGGUAGGCGGCCUUAACGGGUGGUCGCCCACACUGGGAUUGAGAUACGGCCCAGACUCCUACGGGAGGCAGCAGUCGAGAAUAGUCUACAAUGGUCGGAAGACUGAUAGUGCGACGCCGCGUGAACGAUGAAUCCCUUCGGGGUGUAAAGUUCUUUUAUAUGUGAGCAGUGCUUCUUAUAUUAACAGUAUGGGGAGAGAGAUAUUAGCAUAUGAAUAAGCAACGGCUAACUCCGUGCCAGCAGCCGCGGUAAUCUCG